GUGAGGAAUAUUGCGCAAUGGAGGCAACUCUGACGCAGCCAUGCCGCGUGCAGGAAGAAGGCGCUACGCGUUGUAAACUGCUUUUAACCGGGAAGAAACCCCAGGACGUGUCCUGGGUUGACGGUACCGGAGGAAUAAGCACCGGCUAACUUCGUGCCAGCAGCCGCGGUAAUACGAAGGGUGCAAGCGUUAUCCGGAUUCAUUGGGUUUAAAGGGUGCGUAGGCGGAACGUUAAGUCAGUGGUGAAAUCCUGCAGCUUAACUGUAGACUUGCCAUGGAUACUGGCGCUCUUGAGUGCGCUUGAAGUGGGCGGAAUGUGCCGUGUAGCGGUGAAAUGCUUAGAUAUGGCACAGAACACCAAUUGCGAAGGCAGCUCACUAAGGCGAUACUGACGCUGAGGCACGAAAGCGUGGGGAUCGAACAGGAUUAGAAACCCUGGUAGUCC
rnacentral:rRNA from 1 species